rnacentral:rRNA from 1 species
GAUGAACGCUGGCGGCGUGCCUAAUACAUGCAAGUCGAGCGAAGAGGGCACGGGGGAGUAACACGUGGAUAACCUGCUAUAAGAAGGGGGAAACUUAGGGAAACCGGAGGUAAACCGGAAAAUUAUAGAUGGAGGGGCUGUGCAUUAGCUAGUUGGUAAGGUAACGGCUGACCAAGGCAACGAUGCAUAGCCGACCUGAGAGGGUGAUCAGCCACACUGGAACUGAGACACGGCCCAGACUCCUACGGGAGGCAGCAGUGGGGAAUCUUCCGCAAUGGGCGAAAGCCUGACAGAGCCACGCCGCGUGAGUGAUGAAGGUCUUCGGAUCGUAAAACUCUUUUAUUAGGGAAGCGUUACCUGAUCAGAAAGCCCCGGCUAACUCCGUGCCAGCAGCCGCGGUAAUAC